GGAAUUGUUCAGCUUUGGAGUAUUGAAAGAAAUUGCAUAGUUACACAGUUUAUAGUGUUGUUCAUGAGAUUAUCAAGACGCGAUUAUCAUGAUGAUGAUGGAUGAAAAUGUGAAUGGAAGAAAGACACAUGAGAAGUGAACCCAUCAUGGAGUAGUUUACAAGUGGGUUUUUCCCCAAGUCCUUUGAGGAAAGGAAGGGGUGGAUUCAUUCAAUGUUCUAGAGCAGGAAGGAACAAAUUUAGCUUUUCGAUAUCGGCCAAGCUGUAAAGCCACACCACUUCUAAUAUAAGUCCUAUAUUUAUGCAAA